AUGACACUCUUCUCUGGUGAACAAAAUGUGUCGCCAUUCAAUUCUUCAAAGCUAACUGCUCCGCCGUCUUCUCAAAUUCAACUCAACCCUUGCUUUGUCUUGCAUAUCAACCAUUCACUUUCCCUUAAUUCCCUGAAAAAUUUUGAAUCUAUGUUCGACUGUAACAGAGAACCUAACAAUUUGGAUCGAAAUUCUUUGAAUAAGAAACCUGGUCUCGAGUAA